GAAUGUAGUUUAGUGGUAGAGCACUUGCCUAGCAUGUAUGAGGUCCUGGAUUCAAUCCCCAGGACUGCA
rnacentral:tRNA from 1 species